rnacentral:rRNA from 1 species
CCCUUAGAUGUUCUGGGCCGCACGCGCGCUACACUGAUGCGUUCAACAAGUUUCCUUGGCCGAGAGGCCUGGGCAAUCUUCUUAAUAUGUAUCGUGAUAGGGGUAGAUUAUUGCAAUUAUUAAUCUUGAACGAGGAAUUCCUAGUAAACGCAGAUCAUCAAUCUGCAUUGAUUACGUCCCUGCCCUUUGUACACACCGCCCGUCGCACCUACCGAUUGGAUGUUCCGGUGAAGCCUCGGGAUGAGGACUGGUGCCUUUAUUGGCAUGAGUUGUUCAGAACUUGUCUAAACCUUAUCAUCUAGAGGAAGGUGAAGUCGUAACA